rnacentral:lncRNA from 1 species
AAUUUUUCAAAAGGUUCAACAUCAACAUCAUAUAUCACCUUUCCAAGUGCAAGGCGAUUCAAAACUUCUCAUCAGUAUUCCUUUGAAAAGAAUGGAAAAAACUUUCGUCCGAACCGGUAUGGAUGGUUGUAUGCGAACUGUCCUGCGUGGCCCAAUGCCCAGUUGCCACAUAUCAUAUUGAGUUUAUAUUUUCAGUUUCUUUGUUUUGAGAAGAUAAUUGAGUGCUUCUAUUCAUACCUCCACAAUUAGUACAUGCACCUCCUCAAAUUUUUGUAUUAAUAUAUUUCCUACAAUGCCCUUUAAAAAACUGUUAAAAAAAAAAAACCAGAAAAUGACCUCCCUUUACUUCAGUCUUGAGCAAAAAAAAAAACACAUGAAUCCAAUAGCAUCCAAAACAAUUGUAGAUUACAUACUCAGGGUUAUAAUUGACAUUUAACAUUUUUACGUUGUCCAAUCAGCAAGUUAACAGACUUUUUGGACGGAAGGGGACGAAAUGGACAAAUUUGUCGAAAUUUGAGAAGUACGAGGAGUGAUCGGUUGAAAUUGAAAACAUGAGGACUAAACUGUCGAAACCCUAAAAGUAUAAGGACCGACCAGUAUUUUGUCUUUCUCUUAAUUUAUAAGAGAGGUAAAGUAAGAAAUAGAAUUUUACAAAAAUUAAACAUGAAUUUUAACCAAAUAAUUUUUUGUAGCAACACUCAACUCUAGCAGAAUAGCUAAAGAGAUUUUGUUUUUUUUUUUAAACUUCAACGUCGGUAUCCUUAAAAGUUUUCUGGGCCCAAAUACUAAUCCGCGCGAGGGUUUAUGUCAAAACGUUUCGUCCCCCUUGACCACCAAAAAUAGAUUGAGAUUUAAACUUCAAUCAGCGUUGACGGAUUUCGAACUUGGGUAUGAUUAUUCCACAUCUAAGCUCUUAUCAAUUUGACCACAUAUGGUGGUUAUAGUUAAAGAGAAAUAAAGUUUAACUAUUGCUAAGAUAGAUUGAUAAAUUGAGUCAUGAAUUGUUGAAGCAAAAGUUAUAUUUAUUUUUUAUUUUUUUCAUUUUGUCCACGUGUUAGUUCAUAAUUGGUCAAAACUUAUUAGAUAACUCACAAAUAACUAAUACUAUCGGAACACGAUUGCUAUAUAAACAGCUAAAUUUAACUCAACAUUACUUCACACCGAUGGAGAUGCUAAGAUAAUUCUUUAGAUAACAACAAACAACCAAAGAGGUUUCGCUUCUUUUUCUUCAUGCAAUUGGUCCCGCAAGCCACAAGGAAGUUUCUUUUUUUCUUUUUCUGAUGAGCACAAGGAGGUCCUAAUCAUCUCAGUAUUUAAUGCACCAAAUUUAUUAUCCAAAAUAAAAUAAAGGGUAUUUAACAUUAAACUACCAUUUGAAAGUAAAAAUGAUAAAAUAGUCUUCAAAUGUUCCACAUGAUAAAAAAGUCACCAUUAAAACAUGUUAUAUGAUAAACUGAUCACCUUAAAACAUGUUAAAUGAUAAAAUAGUCUAUUUUCACUCUUUUUACAUGACCNNNNN